UCAACACGCAAGAAGGAAAAAGAAACAGUCGAUGCCGGCCAAUUCCACGAGUUGACACAGCGCCGCCGCCGACUUCGAGCAUCCACCACCGCCAUCCUUCUACAGAUUUCGCCUUUGCCGAUCUGAUUGAAGACCACCGGUCCCGUCUGAGAAAGAAACCUCAAGAAGACUUCAAAAAUCUUCACAUCUUAACUCGAUCUCUUGAAUUGGAAGCUCCGCCUAUGAUCUAAAGAGGUCGCCGACUUCAACAGAGUCAGAAGCUACGACGAAGAUAUUACUCCGAUAGAAGAGAGGAGUCAAGCCAACGGUGAAACGGGGAGAUGAGUGGAUCGCAAGGGGAUGUUGAUUUAAUCCUUGUAGAAAA
rnacentral:lncRNA from 1 species